rnacentral:lncRNA from 1 species
CACCACCCCCAACCUGGACCCCAUCCAAUAGGCUCGUGGUCCCUGAUGGUCCUGGACCACUGAUUUGAGGCCUUUCUGCUUCCUUUGAUUCAGUCUUUGGCAGAGACCCAGGAGCAGGAGUCCUUGAUGGCACCUGGCCCUUUCUAGUCACCGACAAGGGAAACCUGAGAAACCAUUCUCAGAAAUGGAACUAAAUUGACACAGCAUUUGUCUCCUCCAGAGGAUACAGCACCAAGGCGCCAUCUUGGAAGUAGACUGGAGCUCUUAGCAGACCAGAACCUGUGGGUGUGUUGAUCUUGUACUUCCUGACCUCCAGAACUGCCUCCUAAGACGAUGUUGCUGGAUGUCCCCUGCUGACCCCACAGACUGGCUCCUCUGGUGUCCGCUGACUUGGCCUGGUGAGAAGGGCAGGGCCAGGCCCUUCCCUGUCUCGACCUGCAUUCCCACCCAACACAGCAAGC